rnacentral:misc_RNA from 1 species
GUUGGAUCCCCGCUGUGGCGGCGACGUCCUCCCCUGCACUCCUCCUCAGUCGUCGGCCCAAGAGCGUCGUCGCGCGCCUUGGCCGCACGGUUAAGUUUCCUGUGUUGCGUACCUACCGGAUGGAAUUCGCACGACCCAACGACGGACGUCCUUCCAGCGACGUGCCCGCCCCUCGUGCGGGCGGGCGCGGCGCGGGACGGACCGCGAGGGCGCGCCCGUGCUCCGAGCCGCACGCCAUGCGAUGCGUCUCGGCCCACGGCCUGCCGCCCGAGCUCUCGGACGCGGUGCACCAGGAGGGCAGGGGGUCGCACGACGGCCUCCGUUUGCCCGAUCUCGGCGUCAAUCGCCCGCACCGAACGACUGCCGUCGUCGCCUCGAGGCGCCGCACCCCACCCGGGCGUGUCGGCCGGCCUCGUGCGGCGACGGCGUCGGCUAGGAAUGCUACCU